rnacentral:rRNA from 1 species
CUCAAAGAUUAAGCCAUGCAUGUAUAAGUACACGCCUUAACAAGGUGAAACCGCGAACGGCUCAUUACAACAGCUAUAAUCUACUCGGUCUUGAACAGUUACUCGGAUAACUGUGGUAAUUCUAGAGCUAAUACGUGCACCGAAGCUGUCCCUCGCGGGGCAGUGCAUUUGUUGGAGCAAAACCAAGCGGCUUCGGCCGUUUUUGCUGACUCAGAACAACUUAGCUGAUCGCAUGGGCUUGUCCCGGCGACGUACCGUCCGAGUGUCUGCCUUAUCAACUUUCGAUGGUAGUGUACGUGACUACCAUGGUUGUGACGGGUAACGGAGGAUAAGGGUUCGACUCCGGAGAAGGGGCCUGAGAAAUGGCCACUACGUCUAAGGAUGGCAGCAGGCGAGCAAAUUACCCACUCUCGGUUCGAGGAGGUAGUGACGAAAAAUAACAAGGCUGUUCUCUACGAGGCCAGCCAUUGGAAUGGGUACAACACAAACCCUUUAACGAGUAUCAAUGAGAGGGCAAGUCUGGCGCCAGCAGCCGCGGUAAUUCCAGCUCUCAAAAUGCAUAGAACCAUUGCUGCGGUUAAAAAGCUCGUAGUUGGAUCUGUGCCGGCGACGUGGUCCACCCUAACGGGCGGUACUGCGCUCGUCGGCUUUGGGCCGGUCUUCAUGCGGCCGCCUUAACUGGUGGCCGCCCGUGGCUGGCUGGUUUACUUUGAGCAAAUCAGAGUGCUCAGCACAGGCGUUUCGCCGGAAUGUUCGUGCAUGGAAUAAUAGAAAAGGAUUUCGGUCCUCUUUUAUUGGUUUUGUGGACUGAGAUAAUGGUUAACAGAGACGAACGGGGGCAUUCGUAUUGCUGCGUGAGAGGUGAAAUUCUUGGACCGCAGCAGGACGGACUACAGCGAAAGCAUUUGCCAAGCGCGUCUUCAUUAAUCAAGAACGAAAGUCAGAGGUUCGAAGGCGAUCAGAUACCGCCCUAGUUCUGACCGUAAACGAUGCCAACUAGCGAUCCGCCGGCGGCUCUACGGCCCUGGUGGGGAGCUUCCCGGAAACGAAAGUCUUCCGGUUCCGGGGGAAGUAUGGUUGCAAAGCUGAAACUUAAAGGAAUUGACGGAAGGGCACCACCAGGAGUGGAGCCUGCGGCUUAAUUUGACUCAACACGGGAAAACUCACCCGGCCCGGACACCGUGAGGAUUGACAGAUUGAUAGCUUUUUCAUGAUUCGGUGGUUGGUGGUGCAUGGCCGUUCUUAGUUCGUGGAUCGAUUUGUCUGGUUUAUUCCGAUAACGAGCGAGACUCCAGCCUACUAACUAGUGCGGGCAUUGCUUCUGUGCUUGUCACUUCUUAGAGGGAUUGGCUGCGUCUAGCGGUACGAAACGGAGCAAUAACAGGUCUGUGAUGCCCUUAGAUGUCCGGGGCUGCACGCGCGCUACACUGGCAAAGGCAGCGUGCUUGUCCGCCUCCGAAAGGAGCCGGUAAACCCUUGAAAAUUUGCCGUGAUUGGGAUCGGAAAUUGCAAUUAUUUUCCGUGAACGAGGUAUUCCUAGUAAGUGCGAGUCAUCAGCUCGCGUUGAUUACGUCCCUGCCCUUUGUACACACCGCCCGUCGCUGCCUAGAACUGAGCCAUUUCGAGAAUAUUCGGGAUCGCUGGUUGCGGGUCCUUCGGGGCACGCCUCUGGCAAGAGAACGAACGUAAUCGCAGUGGCUUGAACCGGGC